GAUGAACGCUGGCGGCGUGCCUAAUACAUGCAAGUCGAGCGAACGGACGAGAAGCUUGCUUCUCUGAUGUUAGCGGCGGACGGGUGAGUAACACGUGGAUAACCUACCUAUAAGACUGGGAUAACUUCGGGAAACCGGAGCUAAUACCGGAUAAUAUUUUGAACCGCAUGGUUCAAAAGUGAAAGACGGUCUUGCUGUCACUUAUAGAUGGAUCCGCGCUGCAUUAGCUAGUUGGUAAGGUAACGGCUUACCAAGGCAACGAUGCAUAGCCGACCUGAGAGGGUGAUCGGCCACACUGGAACUGAGACACGGUCCAGACUCCUACGGGAGGCAGCAGUAGGGAAUCUUCCGCAAUGGGCGAAAGCCUGACGGAGCAACGCCGCGUGAGUGAUGAAGGUCUUCGGAUCGUAAAACUCUGUUAUUAGGGAAGAACAUAUGUGUAAGUAACUGUGCACAUCUUGACGGUACCUAAUCAGAAAGCCACGGCUAACUACGUGCCAGCAGCCGCGGUAAUACGUAGGUGGCAAGCGUUAUCCGGAAUUAUUGGGCGUAAAGCGCGCGUGGCGGUUUUUUAAGUCUGAUGUGAAAGCCCACGGCUCAACCGUGGAGGGUCAUUGGAAACUGGAAAACUUGAGUGCAGAAGAGGAAAGUGGAAUUCCAUGUGUAGCGGUGAAAUGCGCAGAGAUAUGGAGGAACACCAGUGGCGAAGGCGACUUUCUGGUCUGUAACUGACGCUGAUGUGCGAAAGCGUGGGGAUCAAACAGGAUUAGAUACCCUGGUAGUCCACGCCGUAAACGAUGAGUGCUAAGUGUUAGGGGGUUUCCGCCCCUUAGUGCUGCAGCUAACGCAUUAAGCACUCCGCCUGGGGAGUACGACCGCAAGGUUGAAACUCAAAGGAAUUGACGGGGACCCGCACAAGCGGUGGAGCAUGUGGUUUAAUUCGAAGCAACGCGAAGAACCUUACCAAAUCUUGACAUCCUUUGACAACUCUAGAGAUAGAGCCUUCCCCUUCGGGGGACAAAGUGACAGGUGGUGCAUGGUUGUCGUCAGCUCGUGUCGUGAGAUGUUGGGUUAAGUCCCGCAACGAGCGCAACCCUUAAGCUUAGUUGCCAUCAUUAAGUUGGGCACUCUAAGUUGACUGCCGGUGACAAACCGGAGGAAGGUGGGGAUGACGUCAAAUCAUCAUGCCCCUUAUGAUUUGGGCUACACACGUGCUACAAUGGACAAUACAAAGGGCAGCGAAACCGCGAGGUCAAGCAAAUCCCAUAAAGUUGUUCUCAGUUCGGAUUGUAGUCUGCAACUCGACUACAUGAAGCUGGAAUCGCUAGUAAUCGUAGAUCAGCAUGCUACGGUGAAUACGUUCCCGGGUCU
rnacentral:rRNA from 1 species